AUUUUUAAUGAUCAUUUUACACAU
rnacentral:snRNA from 1 species